GGGAACUUAGUUCAGCGGUUAGAGCAAUCGCCUCAUAAGCGAUAAGUCCUGGGUUCGAAUCCCAGAGUUCCCA
rnacentral:tRNA from 1 species